CCUACGGGAGGCAGCAGUGGGGGAUAUUGCACAAUGGGCGCAAGCCUGAUGCAGCGACGCCGCGUGAGCGAAGAAGUAUUUCGGUAUGUAAAGCUCUAUCAGCAGGGAAGAAAAUGACGGUACCUGACUAAGAAGCUCCGGCUAAAUACGUGCCAGCAGCAGCGGUACUACGUAUGGAGCAAGCGUUAUCCGGAUUGACUGGGUGUAAAGGGAGCGUAGGCGGCCCAGUAAGUCUGAUGUGAAAAUUUGGGGUACAACCCCAAAAGUGCAUUGGAAACGGCAGGGCUGGAGUGCCGUAGAGGCAGGCGGAAUUCGUGGUGUAGCGGUGAAAUGCGUAGAUAUUAGGAAGAACACC
rnacentral:rRNA from 1 species